rnacentral:rRNA from 1 species
GCUUAACACAUGCAAGUCGAGCGGUAAGGCCCUUCGGGGUACACGAGCGGCGAACGGGUGAGUAACACGUGGGUGAUCUGCCUUGCACUCUGGGAUAAGCCUGGGAAACUGGGUCUAAUACCGGAUAUGACCAUUGGUUGCAUGAUCGGUGGUGGAAAGAUUUAUCGGUGCGAGAUGGGCCCGCGGCCUAUCAGCUUGUUGGUGGGGUAAUGGCCUACCAAGGCGACGACGGGUAGCCGGCCUGAGAGGGCGACCGGCCACACUGGGACUGAGACACGGCCCAGACUCCUACGGGAGGCAGCAGUGGGGAAUAUUGCACAAUGGGCGGAAGCCUGAUGCAGCGACGCCGCGUGAGGGAUGACGGCCUUCGGGUUGUAAACCUCUUUCGACAGGGACGAAGCGCAAGUGACGGUACCUGUAGAAGAAGCACCGGCCAACUACGUGCCAGCAGCCGCGGUAAUACGUAGGGUGCGAGCGUUGUCCGGAAUUACUGGGCGUAAAGAGCUUGUAGGCGGUUCGUCGCGUCGAUCGUGAAAACAUACAGCUCAACUGUGUGCUUGCGGUCGAUACGGGCGGACUAGAGUACUGCAGGGGAGACUGGAAUUC